rnacentral:lncRNA from 1 species
AUGGCUCUGGUCUGCAGGCCGUGGUGGCGCCCACAACUUUCCUGUGCAGCAUCGGGAACGCUUUCAACUCCCACACAGCCCGUUUGCCUGAGCGUCGCCCUGACCCGGAAAACGCAAGAGCGUGUCGGACAGCCAAUGGAAAUGAAGGCGAGUUACCCCGGAAGGAAGGUGUGCAGGGAAUUGGCAGUGUUGUGCCCAGAGCCACAGGUGCCUCCUCCAAAAGGCUUUUUCAACCAUGGCGAACAACCGACUUUUUCACUCCGUCUGAGGGUCUUCUUGGUCAACGUGGUGCAAAAAGGCUGCGUUAGCAACAGAUUGAGAUUCCUGUAUUUGGCAACCUUCUUCCGAGAAACAUUAUUAUCAUUUUGGUCCAAAUCACACUGCUGGUUGGUGUCAGUGUCGUCUGUAGGUGAGCUGAUGACAGCAAUCCCCCUCCCGACCUCUCCUGACUAUAGAGAAGAGGGGACAGCCUGCGUGGUCUCCGUGCUGGUGAAGAAGCUUGCCAGCACCCCAGGCCCUCUGUGCACACUUUCUUUUGUUUUUAAUGUUUAUUUAUUUUUGAGAGAGACAGAACAUGAGCGGAGGAGGGGCAGAGAGAGAGAGGGAGACACAGAAUCGGAAGCAGGCUCCAGGCCCCGAGCUGGCAGCACAGAGCCCGACGUGGGACUCAAACUCACAGACCGCGAGAUAGUGACCUGA